UGCCAAUUUAGCUCAGUUGGUAGAGCAUCUCCCUCGUAAAGAGAAGGUCGUUGGUUCGAUUCCAACAAUUGGCA
rnacentral:tRNA from 1 species